GAAACCCGCACACCGAAAGACUAAGGUUUCCUCAGCUAUGCUAAUCAGCUGAGGGUUAGUCGGGUCCUAAGGCGAACCCGAAAGGGACAGUCGAUGGCCAACGGGUUAAUAUUCCCGUACUACUUAUAGUUGUGAUGGAGUGACGCAGUGAUGAAAGUACCGCGAACUGACGGAAUAGUUCGUUGAAGGCUGUAGCUAUAGAUUGGAUAGGCAAAUCCGUCCGAUCUGGCAAAGGCCGAUAGU
rnacentral:rRNA from 1 species